CACGGGGGGAGCAAGCGUUGUUCGGAAUCACUGGGCGUAAAGGGCGUGUAGGCGGUCAGGUAAGUGAGAUGUGAAAUGCCCCGGCUCACCCGGGGACCGGCAUCUCAUACUGCUUGGCUUGAGUACGGGAGAGGAUGUGGGAAUUCCUGGUGUAGCGGUGAAAUGCGUAGAGAUCAUGAGGAAGACCAGUGGCGAAGGCGGGUCUCUGGACAGUUCCUGACACUGAGACACGAAGGCCAGGGGAGCAAACGGG
rnacentral:rRNA from 1 species